rnacentral:rRNA from 1 species
GACGAAGGGUGCAAGCGUUACUCGGAAUUACUGGGCGUAAAGCGUGCGUAGGUGGUGAGUUAAGUCUGAUGUGAAAUCCCCGGGCUCAACCUGGGAAUGGCAUUGGAUACUGGCUCGCUCGAGUGCGGUAGAGGGUGGUGGAAUUCCCGGUGUAGCAGUGAAAUGCGUAGAGAUCGGGAGGAACAUCUGUGGCGAAGGCGGCCACCUGGACCAGCACUGACACUGAGGCACGAAAGCGUGGGGAUCAAACAGG